GCAGUGGUAGUUUAGUGGUAGAAUUCUCCCCUUCCACGUGGGAGACCUGGGUUUGAUUCCUGGCCAAUGAA
rnacentral:tRNA from 1 species